AUUGAACGCUGGCGGCAGGCCUAACACAUGCAAGUCGAACGGUAACAGGAAACAGCUUGCUGUUUCGCUGACGAGUGGCGGACGGGUGAGUAAUGUCUGGGAAACUGCCUGAUGGAGGGGGAUAACUACUGGAAACGGUAGCUAAUACCGCAUAACGUCGCAAGACCAAAGAGGGGGACCUUCGGGCCUCUUGCCAUCGGAUGUGCCCAGAUGGGAUUAGCUAGUAGGUGGGGUAACGGCUCACCUAGGCGACGAUCCCUAGCUGGUCUGAGAGGAUGACCAGCCACACUGGAACUGAGACACAGUCCAGACUCCUACGGGAGGCAGCAGUGGGGAAUAUUGCACAAUGGGCGCAAGCCUGAUGCAGCCAUGCCGCGUGUAUGAAGAAGGCCUUCGGGUUGUAAAGUACUUUCAGCGGGGAGGAAGGGAGUAAAGUUAAUACCUUUACUCAUUGACGUUACCCGCAGAAGAAGCACCGGCUAACUCCGUG
rnacentral:rRNA from 1 species